CGGACGGGUGAGUAACGCGUGAGUAACCUGCCUUUCAGAGGGGGAUAACGUUCUGAAAAGAACGCUAAUACCGCAUAAGAUUGUAGUUUCGCAUGGAGCAGCAAUCAAAGGAGCAAUCCGCUGAAAGAUGGACUCGCGUCCGAUUAGAUAGUUGGCGGGGUAACGGCCCACCAAGUCGACGAUCGGUAGCCGGACUGAGAGGUUGAUCGGCCACAUUGGGACUGAGACACGGCCCAA
rnacentral:rRNA from 1 species